rnacentral:rRNA from 1 species
UACGGAGGUGGCAAGCGUUGUCCGGAAUUAUUGGGCGUAAAGCGCGCGCAGGUGGUUUCUUAAGUCUGAUGUGAAAGCCCACGGCUCAACCGUGGAGGGUCAUUGGAAACUGGGAGACUUGAGUGCAGAAGAGGAUAGUGGAAUUCCAAGUGUAGCGGUGAAAUGCGUAGAUAUAUGGAGGAACACCGGUGGCGAAAGCGGCUCUCUGGUCUGUAACUGACGCUGAGGCUCGAAAGCGUGGGGAGCGAACAGG